rnacentral:rRNA from 1 species
UACGUAGGAGGCAAGCGUUGUCCGGAAUUACUGGGUGUAAAGCGCGUGUAGGUGGGAGGCCAAGUCUGUUGUGAAAUCGCCCGGCUCAACUGGGCGCAGUCAAUGGAAACUGGUCACCUGGAGGACGGUAGAGGCAAGUGGAAUUCCCGGUGUAGUGGUGAAAUGCGUAGAGAUCGGGAGGAACACCAGUGGCGAAGGCGGCUUGCUGGGCCGGUCCUGACACUGAGACGCGAAGGCGUGGGGAGCGAACGGG